rnacentral:rRNA from 1 species
UACGUAGGGUGCAAGCGUUGUCCGGAUUUAUUGGGCGUAAAGAGCUCGUAGGCGGUUUGUCGCGUCGGAUGUGAAAACCCAGGGCUCAACCCUGGGCCUGCAUUCGAUACGGGCAAACUAGAGUAUGGCAGGGGAGACUGGAAUUCCCGGUGUAGCGGUGAAAUGCGUAGAGAUCGGGAAGAACACCCGUGGCGGAAGGCGGCUCUCUGGGACGGUACUGACGCUGAGACGCGAAAGCGUGGGAGCGAACAGG